AUUGAACGCUGGCGGCAUGCCUUACACAUGCAAGUCGAACGGCAGCACGGGGGCAACCCUGGUGGCGAGUGGCGAACGGGUGAGUAAUGCAUCGGAACGUACCCGGAAGUGGGGGAUAACGUAGCGAAAGUUACGCUAAUACCGCAUAUUCUGUGAGCAGGAAAGUGGGGGACCGCAAGGCCUCACGCUUUCGGAGCGGCCGAUGUCGGAUUAGCUAGUUGGCGGGGUAAGGGCCCACCAAGGCGACGAUCCGUAGCGGGUCUGAGAGGAUGGACCGCCACACUGGGACGGAGACACGGCCCAGACUCCUACGGGAGGCAGCAGUGGGGAAUUUUGGACAAUGGGCGCAAGCCUGAUCCAGCCAUGCCGCGUGAGUGAAGAAGGCCUUCGGGUUGUAAAGCUCUUUCGGCGGGGAAGAAAUCGGCUGGGUUAAUACCCCAGCUGGAUGACGGUACCGGAAUAAGAAGCACCGGCUAACUACGUGCCAGCCGCCGCCGUAAAAC
rnacentral:rRNA from 1 species